rnacentral:rRNA from 1 species
UAUUUUGGGGAGGAAUGUAUAGCAAUAGCUGAUUGCACCAACAAACAGUUGAUGCAAAAUUGAUUAUAUCAAAUAAAAUUCUAGGUAGAUUUUUGAUAAUGACAUUGCUUACCUAAGUCUUGACCAAAUUACGUGCCAGCAGUCGCGGUAAUACGUAAAAGACUAGUGUUAUUCAUCUUUAAUUGGUUUAAAGGGUACCUAGACAGCGAAUAAAGCCAUUGUAGGGACUAAUACGCUAGAGUUACUUAUGAGGGGGUAUUAAAGUACUGCAGGUGUAGAGAUGAAAUUUUGUUAUACCUCUUUUCGUAUGAGAAACUAUGGCACAGGUAUAGGUGAAAGCAUCCCCUUAUGUGAUAACUGACGUUGAGGGACGAAGGCUUUGUGUCGCGAACAGGAUUAGAUACCCCAAUAGUCAAAGCAGAAAAUGAUGAAUGUCAUAGAUUAGAUAUACAAUUUAUUCUAUAAAUGAAAGUGUAAGCAUUCCACCUCAAGAGUAAUUUGGCAACAUUGGAACUGAAAUCAUUAGACCGUUUCUGAAACCAGUAGUGAAGUAUGUUGUUUAAUUUGAUGAUACGCAAAAAACCUUACCACAAUUUGAAUAUUUAUAUAAAUCUUUUAUUGAUUUUUACUAACAUAUAUGUAAACAAUUAAAAUGAUGCUUAAAUCUCGUUUGCGAGAUUAAGCAUCAGAAAAGAUAAUAUAUUUACAAGCGUUGCACGGCUGUCUUCAGUUAAUGUCGUGAGAUUUUGGUUAGUUCCAUUAAAUUAACGUAAACCCUUACUUUAUUUUUAUAUAAAGUAGUUCUCCGCUAUAUUGGAUAUGAUAACAGGGACUAAGACAAGUCAUCAUGGCCUGAAUAUUGUGGGCUAUAGACGGUUGGCCACAUAA